ACUAGUUCCAAGUCCAACCCGCAAAAUGUUAGCAUAUAGCAAGAUUAAUGUUAGACCCAGGGAUACCAAGGCUCAACAACUACAAGUCGAACAAUGUGAAAAUACACCACAAAACUGACCAGGCGUGAUAGGAAGUCGCCACCUACACCGGCUCAAAGUCAUUAAGCCGAAGCUGCACAGAGACAUAAAAAUAAGGAUUCAAACCUCAACAGAAAGGUGACAGAAAUGUGGGCCGAGGGCGAUGGUGACGACAUGGCGGCCGAAGAGAGACCACACAACGGCGACAGACGCAAACAGAACUCAACUCCAUGGUCAAUAAAAGGAAGUGGCAUUGCAAACUCUCGGAUCAAAUCAAAACGUUGAUAUCACUAUUAGAUUGCAAACUUUCAAAGUAAAUUAAAGGCGACAGGACCUAAUUUAACUGGACGGACGCAUAUGGACGGAAUAGGCCUAGAUGAUCUUUUAAAAGAUUUUGAUCUGAAAAUCAAUGCUCCGUUGUGGUAAUGGACAUGGUAAUUUGAUUAUCAAUUCUGAACAUUUAGGCUAUGUAGAAUAUUAUUCUGUAAAGGCAAUAAAUACACUAUUUGUAAUAUCACCCAAUUUAAAUGUUUAUAAUCUACCUAUGUAAUUUGAGCAUGACAUGGAGUUUUGGAAUAGUUUAAACAAUAUGCUAUUUCUUUUGGAUAACCGAACCAUUCCAUGUUGGUCCACAGGAUUUGUUGAAUGUCGAGGGUCAUGGUCGAGGUAUACAGAAAUAAACUUCCUUGCAAUGACUGUUGUGUUUUAGAAAUGCCGUAAUGCCGGUAGUGCUUGUCCAUCAUAUAUGCUUGUACACAUAAGACAUGGACAUUUAGUCAUUGUGUCGCAAAUGGGCCUACUUUCAAAUUCCUUAUUCAUUCUAGUAUACAAUUGUAAAACUAGAAUAGCCUGAUCUGGGAGCCUAAUCCCAGUGGUGCAGUUAUUGGGCUAAUCAAAAUUAAUAUUAGCCUUUGUUGCGGUCUAUACUAGUUGAGUUAUUUUACUCGAGACUGAAUAAAGUAAGCGUUAAUUUUUUUCAGGAGGAAAAUGUUCCUGGGUUAAAGAUAACUUGA